GGAAAGAUAGCGAAGAGGUUAAACGCGGCGGACUGUAAAUCCGCUCCUUCGGGUUCGGGGGUUCGAAUCCCUCUCUUUCCA
rnacentral:tRNA from 1 species